rnacentral:rRNA from 1 species
AUUACAACUUUCAACAACAGGAUCUCUUGGAUUCUGGCAUCGAUGAAGAACGCAGCGAAAUGCGACUAAGUAGUGUGAAUUGCAGAAUUCAGUGAAUCAUCGAAUCUUUGAACGCACAUUGCGCCCCUUGGUAUUCCAUGGGGCAUGCCUGUUCGAGCGUCAUUUUGUACCCUCAAGCUCUGCUUGGUGUUGGGUGUUGUCCUAUUCUUUGCAAUAGGACCUCGCCUUAAAAACAAUUGGCAAGCCAGUGUUUUGGCAUUGAAGCGCAGCACAUUUUUGCAAUUCAAGCCCUAGCAACUUGCGUCCAUAACAGCGUUUUUCACACUUUUUGACCUCGGAAUCAGGUAGGGAUACCCGCUGAACUUAAGGCAUUCAAUUAAAGCGGACG